UCUUUUCCUACCAAGUAGUGAUAAUGACCUUUGGCUCCCAGGUCCGAGAAGGCUUGGGCGUUUGACAACCAAGACCUCCUGUCUUCUCUGAGGUCGGCUGUCACCUUCCGGCCUCCCAUACCGCUGCGGAGUAGCCUCCUGCAGCAGUUCAGCCUGCCUGCCAUUUCACUCACUCGCUUAAACCCACGACCUCCCGGGUUAUAGGAAGGAGGUGUGGGAGGGAUUUCCCCCUACCUCUUAAAAAAUAGAUUGUUGAAAUUUGCUUUAAUUACAGGAUUUACCAAUGAAGUAGGCAUGCAGAAAUGGGGACCUCUUAAAAGGAACUAGCUGUGUUCAAGGAGAGGAGGUGGAGUCCACUGAGGACCGAAGAACAUCCAGGACUAGAGGAGGCUCUGCCUGGGACUUUUCACUUCAUCUCACUCCGGGGAGUUUAAAAAAUAAAUAAAAUGUGUUACCGAC